rnacentral:rRNA from 2 species
UGCAAGUCGAACGCGUUGGCCCAAUUGAUUGAUGGUGCUUGCACCUGAUUGAUUUUGGUCGCCAACGAGUGGCGGACGGGUGAGUAACACGUAGGUAACCUGCCCAGAAGCGGGGGACAACAUUUGGAAACAGAUGCUAAUACCGCAUAACAGCGUUGUUCGCAUGAACAACGCUUAAAAGAUGGCUUCUCGCUAUCACUUCUGGAUGGACCUGCGGUGCAUUAGCUUGUUGGUGGGGUAACGGCCUACCAAGGCGAUGAUGCAUAGCCGAGUUGAGAGACUGAUCGGCCACAAUGGGACUGAGACACGGCCCAUACUCCUACGGGAGGCAGCAGUAGGGAAUCUUCCACAAUGGGCGCAAGCCUGAUGGAGCAACACCGCGUGAGUGAAGAAGGGUUUCGGCUCGUAAAGCUCUGUUGUUAAAGAAGAACACGUAUGAGAGUAACUGUUCAUACGUUGACGGUAUUUAACCAGAAAGUCACGGCUAACUACGUGCCAGCAGCCGCGGUAAUACGUAGGUGGCAAGCGUUAUCCGGAUUUAUUGGGCGUAAAGAGAGUGCAGGCGGUUUUCUAAGUCUGAUGUGAAAGCCUUCGGCUUAACCGGAGAAGUGCAUCGGAAACUGGAUAACUUGAGUGCAGAAGAGG